rnacentral:ncRNA from 2 species
AUAACGUAUAAUGAUAGCUCUCGUAUAAUUCGGGGAAUAUGGCCCGAAGUCUCUACCUAAAGACCGUAAAUCUUUGGACUACGGGAGAAAGCGAUGACGAG